rnacentral:rRNA from 1 species
UACAGAGGUCUCGAGCGUUAGGCGGAAUCACUGGGCUUAAAGCGUGUGUAGGUGGAUCGUUAAGUACCUUGUGAAAUCCCACGGCUUAACCGUGGAACUGCUUGGUAUACUGGCGGUCUUGAGCCACUUAGGGGCUACCGGAACAAAUGGUGGAGCGGUGAAAUGCGUAGAUAUCGUUUGGAACGCCAACGGUGAAAACAGACAGCUGGGAGUGUGCUGACGCUGAGACACGAAAGCCAGGGGAUCAAACAGG